CGGCGAGUGAAGCGGGACCAGCUCAAAUUUGGAAUCAAUAUCUCAUAGAGAGAUUGAAUUGUAGUUUAGAGAAGCGAGUAAUUCCGGUAAAUGGCAAGCGGCCCAAGUCCCAUUGAAGAGGGCAUCAAAGAGGGUGUUAAUCCCGUCCAGAGCCGCUUAAAAAAGCCAAUAACCAAAUGCGAUGCGCUUUCCAAGAGUCGGUUUGUUUGGGAAUGCAGACCAAAAAGGGUGGUAAACACCAUCUAAAGCUAAAUAUAGGCGAGAGACCGAUAGCGAACAAGUACCGUGAGGGAAAGAUGAAAAGCACUUUGAAAAGAGGGUUAAACAGUACGUGAAAUUGUUGAAAGGGAAGCGCUUGUGACCAGACUUGGGCCCGGUUAAUCAUCCAGCGUUCUCGCUGGUGCACUUGGCCGGCCCAGGCCAGCAUCAGUUCGGCGUGGGGGAUAAAGGCGGCGGGAAUGUGGCUCCUCCGGGAGUGUUAUAGCCCACCGUGUAAUACCCUGUGCUGGACUGAGGU
rnacentral:rRNA from 1 species